rnacentral:lncRNA from 1 species
UGGAGUUGCUGGGUCCAAGGGCAGGAAGGGUUUUAAGACUGGGGUUCAGUGGUGCCAGAGCCCCCCAGGAAGGGUGGAGGGACCCACUUGCCCAUCCCAGUGCCCCGCCCCAUCUCCUAGUGCAAAGUCAGGUCCACACCCGGCACCCACAUCUACCCGGGGCUGGGUCCUUGGCAUGCAAUUAUGUGGAACAGACUUAGAAAACGCAAAGCAAACUGUCUUCUCCUCCACCUUCCCUCGAGGACCAGCUGCCUACUGUCCCUCCCCGGCCCCCCACGCCUUUCCCCUCCAGGUUCAGGCUCCCUGAAUCAUGACCCCCCAGCAUGGCCAGGCCCGGGAGGGCUGUCCUACAAUUUGAGGGUGGAGCAUUGGCACGGAAGCCAGCAUCUCUCUCUGUGCCUCACUUCCCCCUCACUCUACAUCGAGAAUCCAGCCAGGAUUAUGCCUGUUCCAGCAGAAACAAGAGGUGUCUGCCAAAGACGCAGCCGCUAACC